AACUAAGUUUGUCAUUGGUAUGAGCUUUCAUGUACAUGCACACUUCUUCAGAUACCUGAAUCUGAAGAAGUAUCUGGUAUCUGAAGAAGUGUGCAUGCACACAAAAGCUCAUACCAAUAACAAACUUAGUUGG
rnacentral:miRNA from 1 species